GUGCUCGCUUUAGCAGCACUUAUACUAAAAUUGGAACGAUGCAGAGAAGAUUAGCGUGGCCCCCGUGCAGGGGUGACACAAAUUUGUGAAGCAUUCCACAUUUUU
rnacentral:snRNA from 1 species